rnacentral:rRNA from 1 species
AUUGAACGCUGGCGGCAGGCCUAACACAUGCAAGUCGAACGAGUGGCGGACGGGUGAGUAAUGUCUGGGAAACUGCCCGAUGGAGGGGGAUAACCACUGGAAACGGUAGCUAAUACCCCAUUCCAUCGGAUGUGCCCAGAUGGAAUUAGCUAGUAGGUGGGGUAACGGCUCACCUAGGGGACGAUCCCUAGCUGGUCUGAGAGGAUGACCAGCCACACUGCUACUGAGACACGGUCCAGACUCCUACUGGGGACAUCAGUGGGGAAUAUUGCACAAGGGGCGCAAGCCUGAUGCAGCCUUGCCGCGUGUUUGACGUAGGCCUUCGGGUUGUAAACCGCUUUCAGCAAUGACGCGGUAGUGGCAGAAGAAGCACCGGCUAACUCCGUGCCAGCAGCCGCGGUAAUAC